rfam:Nosema bombycis CQ1 unplaced genomic scaffold NBO_24, whole genome shotgun sequence.
AACCCUUUGAACUUAAGCAUAUCAGUAAAAGGAGGAAAAGAAACUAACAAGGAUUUCUUUAGUAGUGGCGAAUGAACAAGAA